AAAAGUACAAUACAUAUGGCAAGUCUAUCCCCCUGGGCCUUUCAUAGUGUCCCAUGCCAGGGCACACUGUGGUCCCAAACCAUUGCCUGGCUUCUGUGUGCUUAGGCUGCUGGUACUGAAAUGGGUUGCACAGUG
ensembl:snoRNA